rnacentral:rRNA from 1 species
UACGUAGGGUGCAAGCGUUAAUCGGAAUUACUGGGCGUAAAGCGUGCGCAGGCGGUUGUGCAAGACCGAUGUGAAAUCCCCGGGCUUAACCUGGGAAUGGCAUUGGUGACUGCACGGCUAGAGUGUGUCAGAGGGGGGUAGAAUUCCACGUGUAGCAGUGAAAUGCGUAGAGAUGUGGAGGAACACCGAUGGCGAAGGCAAUCCCCUGGGCCUGCACUGACGCUCAUGCACGAAAGCGUGGGGAGCAAACAGG